UACGGAGGGUGCAAGCGUUAUCCGGAUUCACUGGGUUUAAAGGGUGCGUAGGCGGGCAGGUAAGUCAGUGGUGAAAUCUCCAAGCUUAACUUGGAAACUGCCGUUGAUACUAUCUGUCUUGAAUACCGUGGAGGUGAGCGGAAUAUGUCAUGUAGCGGUGAAAUGCUUAGAUAUGACAUAGAACACCAAUUGCGAAGGCAGCUCACUACACGAAUAUUGACUCUGAGGCACGAAAGCGUGGGGAUCAAACAGG
rnacentral:rRNA from 1 species